CAGUAGCCGCGGUAAUACGUAGGUGGCAAGCGUUGUCCGGAAUUAUUGGGCGUAAAGGGCUCGCAGGCGGUUUCUUAAGUCUGAUGUGAAAGCCCCCGGCUCAACCGGGGAGGGUCAUUGGAAACUGGGAAACUUGAGUGCAGAAGAGGAGAGUGGAAUUCCACGUAUAGCGGUGAAAUGCGUAGAGAUGUGGAGGAACACCAGUGGCGAAGGCGACUCUCUGGUCUGUAACUGACGCUGAGGAGCGAAAGCGCGGGGAGCGAACAGGAUUAGAUACCCCAGUAGUCCCUGUCUCUUAUAC
rnacentral:rRNA from 1 species